rnacentral:rRNA from 1 species
GGACUACACGGGUUUCUAAUCCCUUUUGCUCCCCUAGCUUUCGUUCCUCAGCGUCAGUUAUGGCCCAGUCAAGCGCUUUCGCCACCGGUGUUCCUCCAGAUAUCUACGCAUUUCACCGCUACACCUGGAAUUCCCUUGACCUCUGCCACACUCUAGCCAUACAGUUUCCAAUGCCAUGCCGACGUUGAGCGCCAGUAUUUAACACCAGACUUACAUAACCGCCUACGAACUCUUUACGCCCAAUAAUUCCGGACAACGCUUGCAUCCUACGUCUUACCGCGGCGGCUGGCAC